GAGACAGAUAUCCUAAACGGUGGAUCACUCGGCUCGUGGAUCGAUGAAGAACGCAGCAACUGCGCGUCGAAUUGUUGAACUGCAGGACACAUGAACAUCGAGCCUUCGAACGCACAUUGCAGCCCACGAUUCUGUUCCCGGUUACGCCUGGCUGAGGGCCGGC
rnacentral:rRNA from 2 species